GACGAACGCCGGCGGCGUGCCUAAUACAUGCAAGUAGAACGCUGAAGGAGGAGCUUGCUUCUCCGGAUGAGUUGCGAACGGGUGAGUAACGCGUAGGUAACCUGCCUGGUAGCGGGGGAUAACUAUUGGAAACGAUAGCUAAUACCGCAUAAGAGUAGAUGUUGCAUGACAUUUGCUUAAAAGGUGCAAUUGCAUCACUACCAGAUGGACCUGCGUUGUAUUAGCUAGUUGGUGGGGUAACGGCUCACCAAGGCGACGAUACAUAGCCGACCUGAGAGGGUGAUCGGCCACACUGGGACUGAGACACGGCCCAGACUCCUACGGGAGGCAGCAGUAGGGAAUCUUCGGCAAUGGACGGAAGUCUGACCGAGCAACGCCGCGUGAGUGAAGAAGGUUUUCGGAUCGUAAAGCUCUGUUGUAAGAGAAGAACGAGUGUGAGAGUGGAAAGUUCACACUGUGACGGUAUCUUACCAGAAAGGGACGGCUAACUACGUGCCAGCAGCCGCGGUAAUACGUAGGUCCCGAGCGUUGUCCGGAUUUAUUGGGCGUAAAGCGAGCGCAGGCGGUUAGAUAAGUCUGAAGUUAAAGGCUGUGGCUUAACCAUAGUACGCUUUGGAAACUGUUUAACUUGAGUGCAAGAGGGGAGAGUGGAAUUCCAUGUGUAGCGGUGAAAUGCGUAGAUAUAUGGAGGAACACCGGUGGCGAAAGCGGCUCUCUGGCUUGUAACUGACGCUGAGGCUCGAAAGCGUGGGGAGCAAACAGG
rnacentral:rRNA from 1 species